CACAAAGAUGCAGCCAAUUGAUCACGUCCGGCUUGCAAAAAAAAAAAUGUAAAGAGCCUAGGCCCAUGUUAUUUGGAAAUAGCCUGGUCAUUCUUCAAACCGUAAUAAAGGACAACACAAAAAAAGGGGAUAUUUUCAUCAAGUGAGGGAUCUUCUUUUGCCGAUUACACUCAAACCUAGCCGCGUAACAUUGAAUCAUCGGCCAACUAGAGACACAACCACUUACUGACGAUUCAAUGAAAAUUCAAGGAACCUGGGAGAACAUCUUCCAACAAUUUCAGAGUUUUUCUUCGUUUCCUCAUUUAUUUUGAUUUCAAUAUUUAGUUUUCAUUGUUAUGAUGAGUUCCUUAUGUUGUGAAUCAGAUAAAUUAGUUCUUGAAUCUUUGAUAAUGUUGAACUAAACUUAUUUCUAGGAUAACUAAUGUAGCUUGGUUUUAAUUUUAAUUUCAGAGAUUUUGUUAGGGAUAUGGUGUAUUCUAGAUGAAGUAAGAAAGUUCUGGAAGGAUUGCAAUUGGUUGGCUAACUCAACCCAGUUUUGUUGGUGCAACUCUCGUGUGCAUGUGAUGCAGUGGCUAAGAGAAUUAUAUAUGGGGCAGAAAGGGUAGAGUCGGGGAUAUGAGAGAAAGUUAUUGUAAUUUCCAGCUAGAACACUAGCUUGGGGGUAGAACCAUUUUCUAGAUGAAGUAAAAAGUUCUGGAAGGAUUGCAAUUAGUUGGCCAGCUCAACUCAAUUUUGUUGAGCAAUUCUCGGAUGCAUGUGAUGCAGCAGCUAAGAGAAUUAUAUAUGGGAGAGAAAGGGUAGAGUGGGGGACAUGAGAGAAAAUUAUUAUAAUUUCCACCUAGAAUACUAGUUUGGGGCAGAAAUCUUGGUGUUGGGGGCUUGGUCUUUUAUUUCGGCAUUGGUGCUAGGCCAAGCAUUCUCUCUAAGAGUGUUCGGAAGUUUUUUUUUUUUUUUUUUUUUUUUUUUUUCUUACUCUAUUUGAUUGAGAAUUAGAGAGGAGAGUGAGAGAAUUGCUGAUGUAAUUCCAUUACUAUAAUCUUAAGUUCUUAAUACUAGAUUCUCUUCUUUGCAUUCGCUUAAUUUCCUUACUCUAUCAAAUGGUUCGACCUUGCUAGUUUGCUCUAUUCCCUGUGAAUGCCAACGAUGAGAAUGGAUUUCUGCAGCGAUACGAUAGAGAGGGACAUGGAGACUUUUCACAAAAAUCUAGCUAUCUACCGUAAUGAGUUGGAUUAAAAAUUUAAUAGAAUCGAAGAUUUACUUAUUGAGUUGAUAUGGAAGGAGGCAGCAGCUGGGAAUGAUGAAACUCUCAUACAAUAUCUUCAUCAACAGUUGACUGCUGAUGGGAAUGCAACCAAUAGCAUGAGGCCUUUAGCUCUAAUAUUGGAAGAAGAUCUGUUGCAUCCACAAACGAUCGCUAUGCCCAAAUUCUAUAAUGAAAACCCAAAAAGAUUGGAUUGUCCAGGCUGAGCAAUACUUUCAAAAUCAAUAAAGCUGAUAGGAGGUUAAAAUUUAUUUUGUUUGGAAUAGCAUGGAGGGAGCCCCUCUCCAAUAGUUUCGUGAGUAUCGACAACAAUUCCCUUAUCCCUCUUAGGAGCUUUUUAAAUUAGAAUUCCUACAGCAAUUUGUUGAAGAUAAAGAUGACACUCCAUAUGGCAAUCUUACGGAUGUUCCUUAUAUGGGUUUUGAAAUAGAAUGGGUCGAAAGUUCCCUCUCUGAAGCAGCGAAGAAACUGGAAUUCUCACCUUCUCGCUGUGACAUUCCACGAUGGGAUCGCAUGAGGACGAAAAGAAACAGCUGACAUUGCAUUACAAUUGCUCGAGGAUUUUAAUCAGAGGGAAGAACUAAAAUCUUCAGGAUAGGACGAAGGCAACAAACUCUUUUUUUCUUUUUUUUUUUUUUUUCUGUUUGGAAAAUCAUUGAGGACGAUGAAAGGUGGUGGCAAACUUGGAUUAAGCCUUAAUGUCAUUGGUUUGAGGCUAGUGGGUUUCAAUGGCGCAAGUCUGAUAGUUGGCCCAAUGCCCACCAGCCCGACCCACUUAGUUAGGCCACCUCCAAAACCUCCUCAUCCAAGCCACUUAACAAUUCCAAUACCUUCCUUUGCUUAGACCUUCGCCACCAUCUACAACACUAAUUUUCCACUUUCUUCGAUUGUAUUCCACAUUUCUUCUACCAAACAAGUCAUCACAAGCCAACAAUAAAAACGCAGUACUGCCAACAAACUGGAGGCAAUGUGGUGGCCAACAAGAAUCAUCUCUGCUCAUUCCCCAAAUGAAGCUAUGGAUAUUUUUAAAUGGGAUGCGUUUAAUUGACAAUGUAUCUAGAUUUCUCUUGUGGGUUGUUGAAAAUUUUAUUAAGGUACAAACAGUCUUUGUCCAAUUCAGCUUAUAGUAUUGCAAUUAACAGGGUUGUGGUUUUCUUUCCAAUUCAGCUUAUAGUAUUGCAAUUAACAGGGUUGUGGUUUUCUUUUUCUAGGAUGAUUAUGUAUUACAUGAAAGAAUAAUGUGGCUUUAUGGUUCUAUUACAUUUGCUGAAGCUUUUGAAACUAAGAUGCAAGGACCGAAGUUUCUGAAUGUUGUAUGUGUGAGUAUAUGUUGCUGAUUUUUGUGGGGUCAAUAAAUCGGCAUGAAGAUAGCUGUAUUGGUUUUGAAUCUGCAAAUCUAUCCAGGAACUUGGAUGAAGCACUCUUCCCUAUAUUUUUUUUGUGUUAGCUUCACAUCACCACAAGUUUUGGGGUUUUACUCAGUUCUUAUACCAAAAAUUGCUUGAAUUGUUUUGGUGGUGUCUCCCAUACAGCCUUGAGGACAAGGCUAUUUUGAGCGGGUACUAUUGUUAGGGAUAUGGUGUAUUCUAGAUGAAGCAAGAAAGUUCUGGAAGGAUUGCAGUUGGUUGGCCAGCUUAGCUCAACUCCUUUGGAGCAAUUCUCGGGUGCAUGUGAUGCAACAGCUACGAGAAUUAUAUAUGGGAGAGAAAAGGUAGAAUGGGGGCAUGAGAGAGUAAUUGUAUUUUCCAACUAUAAUACUAACUUGGGGGCAAAAUUCUUAAUGGCGGGAGGGCUUAGCUCUUUUAUUUUGGCAUUAUUGCUGGGCCAAGCAUUCUCUCUAGAGUGUUUGGAAGGUUUUUUCCCCCUUUUCUUGCUAUAUUUGCAUUGAGAAUUAGACAGGAGAGUAAGAGAAUUGCUCGUGUACUUCCAUUACUGUAAUCUCAAGUUCUUAAUACAAUUUUAGAUUAUUUUCUUUCCA